rnacentral:rRNA from 1 species
CUGAACCAGCCAAGUAGCGUGAAGGAUGACUGCCCUAUGGGUUGUAAACUUCUUUUAUAAAGGAAUAAAGUCGGGUAUGGAUACCCGUUUGCAUGUACUUUAUGAAUAAGGAUCGGCUAACUCCGUGCCAGCAGCCGCGGUAAUACGGAGGAUCCGAGCGUUAUCCGGAUUUAUUGGGUUUAAAGGGAGCGUAUAGGGAUGUUUAAGUCAGUUGUGAAAGUUUGCGG